CAGUAGCCACGGUAAUACGGAGGAUGCGAGCGUUAUCCGGAUUUAUUGGGUUUAAAGGGUGCGUAGGCGGCCUGUUAAGUCAGCGGUGAAAUCUAGGAGCUUAACUCCUAAAUUGCCAUUGAAACUGGCGGGCUUGAGUGUAGAUGAGGUAGGCGGAAUGCGUGGUGUAGCGGUGGAAUGCAUAGAUAUCACGCAGAACUCCAAUUGCGAAGGCAGUUUACUAAGGUACAACUGACGCUGAAGCACGAAAGCGUGGGUAUCAAACAGGAUUAGAUACCCCCGUAGUCCCUGUCUCUUAUAC
rnacentral:rRNA from 1 species